CCUGAAGGGAAGUUUUCUUUCUGCAGUUCUCUUACUGCACAUAACUGUGGCAUUGUGGGAAGUCUUGCUUCUUUUCUCUUGCAUUCUGGGAAGUCUCGCUCAUAAUCUUCUCUCUGCUUCUGCACAAGAGUCUGAGAAUGUUCUGAACAGUUCCCAUUGAGUUCAUGAAACAGUGUAUCCUGACCUGUUCUUAAUGCAUUGCUGACCACAUCUACGGAACGUGAUUGUUGUAUUCCUUCAUGUUAUGUUCUCUCAAUAUCAAUCUUUAGUUAUAAUUUAAUUAGGAGGUUUCAUGCCUGUCUAGUUCCAGCUCCGUUCCCAGUCUUUAAUCUAUCAAUGAUAAAUGGACAUAUGUUAUUCCCGCCUUGUACCUAUGUUAACCAAUCAGCAACAAGAUGCUUUGUGUUUGUAUCAACCAAUCAGCCACAAGCACACCUGUGGCAAUGUUUGUAAUAUUCAAUAAAAGAGAGUUCCCGGGGCUUGCCCCGGCAGACGCCUCUCCUUUGACACCCACCACUCGUCUGUCGUGAUUUCAACCCAACAUCUGGUGACCCCCGACGUGCCAGAUCCCUUACGCAGCCAAACCUCAUACUUCACCCAACUGGAAAAGUCUCAGCGCGCUACUUCGUGAGUAUGGGAGGGGAAUUGACUAAAUUCCAGAAAGAGCAUGCUAAAGAAUUGCUUCAUUUAGUUAGACAGUGGGAGGUGGGUGUUAAUAUUUCCUUAAAAGAAAUUGAACAAUUGCUAUGUGAGAUUUCUUGCCAAUAUCCCUCCUAUCCAGAGAAAGGCUCUUUGGAAGUAGAGACUUGGCAAAAGAUCGGAAAGACCCUUUUUGCAGAACCUAGGGCUCCGAUUCAUUGUCUGCUCACUUGGCAGAAAUGUGCAGAUGCCGUUGCUAAAUUACCACAGGCGUCUCGCUCGACUCCUGCACUUCUAGCCAUCGCAGACAAUCCCCCACCCUACCCACAACUUUUGCCUCCUUCUCCUUUGCAGCCCAGCCAAUCCCUCCCUGCGUCUCACCCUCCUCAGCCUGCAUCUUCCCCCCCAUCCCUCCACCUCAGCCUGCAUCCUCCCCCCCAUCCCUCCACCUCAGCCUGCUUCCUCCCCCCCAUCCCUCCUCCUCCUGCCACAGCCCCUGUUUGCUCUAUAGGAGCUGUGCGCGUUGCGCUCUCUUUGGCCAGGCAGAAAGGGCUCCUGUCCUUAGAGGAGGAGUCUGAGUGGCCAGGUGAAAUGCCGUCUGCUUUCCCUAUCACCUAUUCAAACCCUGGAACUGCUCAACAGCAGGUUUAUUAUGAAUCGCUUCCUUAUUCUGUAAUGAGAGAAUUAAGGAAAGCCAUUGCUGAUUCUGGUCUAAAAUCCUCAUGUGACAGGGAUGCUAGAAGGCAUAGCAACUGGUUACAUUAUGCUACCUCAGGACUGGAAAGACCUGAUGCGCAUGCUUUUGUCCCCUGCUCAGUAUGUGGUGUUUGAGAGUGAAUUUAAGCAUAGCGCAUCAGCCCUGUCUGAUCCUCAACAUACUGCCAAUGAACUUUAUGGUGCUGGUCAGUUUGCUGAUAUAACUGCCCAAGCAACACUGACACCUGUACAUUUUGUUCGCACCGCGACCUGUGUACAACGCGCCUUUCGGAAAGUCCCUGUCUCUGGGCAACCGCUGAGCUCCUUUGUAAAUAUUAAGCAACAGCAUUCGGAGCCAUACCAUCAGUUUAUAGAUAGAUUGAAAGAAUCAGUCACUAGGCAGAUUGAUAACACCACUGCUCAAAAUGAAUUGAUGAAAAAAUUGGCCUUUGAAAACGCAAACAUGGAUUGCAAGAAAGCAUUGCAGUCAAUCAUACAUCGCCCUAAAUAUGACCUGGCCGAUAUGAUUCAAGCUUGUGCGGAUGUCGGUAGCCAGAGCCAUGCGAUGUCUUUGCUUGCCGGCACAAUCCAAGCAACCACUAGGCCUACGGGUAACUGCUUUAAUUGCAAGCACCCAGGCCAUUUUGCCAAGCAAUGCAGAGCCCCUGGCGGGGGGGGCACACAAGGAUGGUGCUGCCUCUAAGGCUAAACCUUCAAAAAAGUGCCUGAAAUGUGGCAAAGGCUAUCAUUGGGCUAAUCAAUGCAGAAGUCCGGGAAACUCCAUUGCGGCCCCACUCUCGGGCCAGGGCAAUUAGAGAGUUUUCCACCUUUAGUUUCUACUGCUGCAAACUUUUCAAAAAACACACCCUCUGAAUUUGCCAUUGAUUUGAUCAAUCAGGAGACCAAAGACUCUGCUUUACCUGGUGAAAUUGUGCUUAUGCCCACUCAGUUGGCAGGCCCCCUGCCUCCUAAAGUCGCAGGUUUAAUUUUACCCAAAUUUUCUGCGGCAAAGGAAGGAAUCCAGGUUAUUCCUGGGGUUCUGGAUCCUGACUAUGUUGGCACAAUAAUGGUUCAACUCUGGAGCCAUAUGCCCAUGCAAUUAAAAAAGGGUGAGUCUUGGGCGCAUUUGGUGGUGCUCCCUUCUCAUCCUACUGCUUCUAUUAUGGAUACUAAUUUGCACGAGCUCUCUUCUUUCCCUCCACAGCUGUUAGCUGUAGUCCAGAGGAUUGGUGAAAAGAAACUUCUUCGAGAAGGAUCGUAAAUUCUUUGCUUUUACCGUUCCUGUGUUAAAUAACAGUCAGCCCAUGGAACGGUACCAAUGGAAAGUCCUACCACAAGGAAUGUUGAAUUCCCCUACCAUGUGCCAAUACAUCAGCCAUGGAACACCUUGCUGUUUAAGCUGUUUGUCCAUCAUUUUACCCAAGAAGCAUCAUUUAUCCCGCUCUCGAUAUCACUGCAAUAUUGAAUUGACUAAUGAUUGUGAUGCUUUUGUCUCUCUUCUCAGUAGGUCUGAAUAUAUCUUUUUAGUUGUUUCUCUCUUAGGAGUCCCUGGACUGGCUGUACGGAAUCGCAUGAACAUUAAUUCUUAAGCUUGUUCUGAAGCAAAAACCCUGAAUUUUACUUCACAACCUCUUCACCUUUUGAAUAAAGAACAGUGAACUCCACUAUGGACUUUUAUGAAAUCGUGCUGCUAUCACUAUUUGCUCAUGCUUCAUCAUUAUGGCUGUGAACAAGUGAAUGACAUGUGUUGUUUCAAUAUUAUUGACAAUUCUAGAGCCAUUCAAAGCCAAAUCUCUCAUUUGCAAAAUCUUACACAUCACAUUAAACAGGACGUUGGAUUUUCUGGCCUCUGGGAUUCUUUCACCCAGUGGCUUACCGCUUGGUUGCCAAACCUUACUUGGCUUCGUAGUCUUUUUCAAUAUGCUAUUGUCAUAAUUUGUAUUCUUGUUUUGCUAUGCUGCUUCCUUCAAUGCGUUCCUAGCCUCAUAAGUCUUUUCUCUCUGCUUCUCUCUCCCCCUCCACCACCCAGUAAACUCCUUGCUGCCUACUUUGCGAAAUGGCAACACCAACAGUAACCUUUAGGGGAGAUGUGGGCGGAUUUAUUUUGGGCAUGCGCUGGCAAACCACGUAUCCUGAAGUAUUUUUGUCCCAUCGACCCUGGCAAGCUUAUUUCGGGCAUUCGCUGGCACACCACUAAUCCUGAAGUAUUUUUGCCUUAUUUACCCAGAACGCCUCGCAAACAAGAAAAGAAAGGGAGAGAUGAAGGGAAGUUUUCUUUCUGCAGUUCUCUUACUGCACAUAACUGUGGCAUUGUGGGAAGUCUUGCUUCUUUUCUCUUGCAUUCUGGGAAGUCUCGCUCAUAAUCUUCUCUCUGCUUCUGCACAAGAGUCUGAGAAUGUUCUGAACAGUUCCCAUUGAGUUCAUGAAACAGUGUAUCCUGACCUGUUCUUAAUGCAUUGCUGACCACAUCUACGGAACGUGAUUGUUGUAUUCCUUCAUGUUAUGUUCUCUCAAUAUCAAUCUUUAGUUAUAAUUUAAUUAGGAGGUUUCAUGCCUGUCUAGUUCCAGCUCCGUUCCCAGUCUUUAAUCUAUCAAUGAUAAAUGGACAUAUGUUAUUCCCGCCUUGUACCUAUGUUAACCAAUCAGCAACAAGAUGCUUUGUGUUUGUAUCAACCAAUCAGCCACAAGCACACCUGUGGCAAUGUUUGUAAUAUUCAAUAAAAGAGAGUUCCCGGGGCUUGCCCCGGCAGACGCCUCUCCUUUGACACCCAC